UAGGGAAUAUUAGAAAUGGACGAAAGUCUGAUCUAGCAACACCGCGUGUGCGAAGAAGGCCUUCGGGUCGUAAAGCACUUUUUGGAAGGAAUAGGUAGGAAUGUACUUCCAGAAUAAGUCUCGGCUAACUACGUGCCAGCAGCCGCGGUAACACGUAGGAGGCAAACGUUAUCCGGAUUUACUGGGCGUAAAGCGCGUGUAGGUGGUACUGUAAGUAGGGCGUGAAAGCUCCUGGCUCAACUGGGAGAGGCCGUUCUAAACUACAGAACUAGAGGAUGGUAGAGGGAGGUGGAAUUCCAGGUGUAGCGGUGGAAUGCGCGGAUAUCUGGAGGAACACCAGUGGCGAAGGCGGCCUCCUGGACCAUUCCUGACACUCAGACGCGAAAGCUAGGGUAGCAAACGG
rnacentral:rRNA from 1 species